rnacentral:rRNA from 1 species
AGUGAACGCUGGCGGUAGGCCUAACACAUGCAAGUCGAACGGCAGCACAGUAAGAGCUUGCUCUUACGGGUGGCGAGUGGCGGACGGGUGGGGAAUACAUCGGAAUCUACUUUUUCGUGGGGGAUAACGUAGGGAAACUUACGCUAAUACCGCAUACGACCUACGGGUGAAAGCAGGGGAUCUUCGGACCUUGCGCGAUUGAAUGAGCCGAUGUCGGAUUAGCUAGUUGGCGGGGUAAAGGCCCACCAAGGCGACGAUCCGUAGCUGGUCUGAGAGGAUGAUCAGCCACACUGGAACUGAGACACGGUCCAGACUCCUACGGGAGGCAGCAGUGGGGAAUAUUAGACAAUGGGCGCAAGCCUGAUCCAGCCAUACCGCGUGGGUGAAGAAGGCCUUCGGGUUGUAAAGCCCUUUUGUUGGGAAAGAAAAGCAGCAGGUUAAUACCCCGCUGUUCUGACGGUACCCAAAGAAUAAGCACCGGCUAACUUCGUG